AACACAUGCAAGUCGAACGGUCUCUUCGGAGAUAGUGGCGGACGGGUGAGUAACGCGUAAGAAUCUACCUAUAGGUUCGGGACAACAGUUAGAAAUGACUGCUAAUACCGGAUAUGCCUUCGGGUGAAAGUUUUAAUGCCUGUAGAUGAGCUUGCGUCCGAUUAGCUAGAUGGAGUGGUAACGGCACACCAUGGCGACGAUCGGUAACUGGUCUGAGAGGAUGACCAGUCACACUGGAACUGAGACACGGUCCAGACUCCUACGGGAGGCAGCAGUGGGGAAUUUUCCGCAAUGGGCGAAAGCCUGACGGAGCAAUACCGCGUGAGGGACGAAGGUCUGUGGAUUGUAAACCUCUUUUGUUAGGGAAGAUAAUGACGGUACCUAACGAAUAAGCAUCGGCUAACUCCGUGCCAGCAGCCGCGGUAAGACGGAGGAUGCAAGCGUUAUCCGGAAUUAUUGGGCGUAAAGCGUACGUAGGCUGUUAGAUAAGUCUGUUGUCAAAGAGCGAGGCUUAACCUCGUAAAGGCAAUGGAAACUGUCUGACUAGAGAGAGAAAGGGGCAGGAGGAAUUCCAGGUGUAGCGGUGAAAUGCGUAGAUAUCUGGAAGAACACCAGUGGCGAAAGCGUCCUGCUGGAUCUCAACUGACGCUGAAGUACGAAAGCUAGGGGAGCGAAUGGGAUUAGAUACCCCAGUAGUCCUAGCCGUAAACGAUGGGUACUAGGUGUUGGCCGUAUCGACCCGGUCAGUGCCGUAGCUAACGCGUUAAGUACCCCGCCUGGGGAGUACGGUCGCAAGAUUGAAACUCAAAGGAAUUGACGGGGGCCCGCACAAGCGGUGGAGUAUGUGGUUUAAUUCGAUGCAACGCGAAGAACCUUACCAAGGCUUGACAUGUCGUGAAUCCUCUUGAAAGGG
rnacentral:rRNA from 1 species